rnacentral:rRNA from 1 species
GGAUUAGAUACCCUGGUAGUCCACGCUGUAAACGAUGGUCACUCGAUAUAUAUGCCCGAGCAUAUGUGUCCAAGCAAAAGCAUUAAGUGACCCACCUGGGGAGUACGCUCGCAAGAGUGAAACUUAAAGGAAUUGACGGGGAUCCGCACAAGCGGUGGAGCAUGUGGUUUAAUUCGAAGUUACGCGAGGAACCUUACCUAGGCUCGAAUGUGUGUUGCAGCAUUGAGAAAUCAAUGUGUUCCGCAAGGACAACAUACAAGGUGUUGCAUGGCUGUCGUCAGCUCGUGCUG